AGGCAUAAGCCACCAUGCCUGGCCAGGAAUUCUUGCUUUUUAGGGUUUCGCUUAAGUUUUAGGUUAUAAGGAUAAGAAUUCUAGUUAACACAUAAUUCAGUAGGCAAAAUGUGCUGGAAAAGAUUAUGUUAGUAGUGAGAAAAAGAAUAACUUUGUAUAAUUCAGAAGUUAUCAAAUUCUAACUAACUUUUUGGAUUUUAGGCUUCUAGACAGUUUAAGCAUGUUGAAUAUACUUUCAUAAAUAGAAUUUGAGUUCUAUUUCUCUCUCUGCCUAAUUUCUUCAAAAUUUGUAAACUAUUUGUGAAUAUUCUUAAUUCAUGGCAAUAUGUUUGUCUGCAUACAGUUGAGCAGGGUCCCUAGGGCCACUCAGGGAGAAAGAACCCAGAAACCAGACAUGCUUGCAAAAGAAUAUUUCUUACCAGUUAGUCUCUGGUCUCUUUCGCUCUGUGCAAACUGGUUAAAUGAAAGGUAAAAGUCACCAUUUGUCCCUUCUGUAAAGUUUUAAAUUGGUUUAAUAAUAAUAUAAGAGCUUAAAUCAAAUAUUUUGUCAGAAAAGUGAAAAAUGUAAUGCUUUUUAUUUAGUUCAUGUGACUUGAGUAAUCUUUAGGAAAUAAACAGUUUUAAAGAUUAUUGGUAAAAUACAGUUGUCUUGAAAAUGUAAACAUGUGGUCUAAGUUAUGUUCAAAUAUUAGGUUUGCUAAAUGCUUUAAGGUCAUAAACUGCUUCUUUGGUGUUUGAAAUUUGUUUAACUUGCCUGCUUUCCAGCUAGGUAAGGCCUGAGGACAGCCCACUCGGGAUGGCCCUGGGGGCUUCUGAGAUGAAAGAGGCCUUCUUGGGAGGCUCCCAGCAUUCCCUGUGCUCUUGCCUCUUCUCCCCUCUGCCUGCCUGAAGAUCCCCCUGAGUCCCUGCCACCCCCUCUCCAUGGGGAGUUGGCCAUGCCCCUAACUAUGCUGGAAACAUUCUAAUCUUAUCAGAACACAACUUAGCAGGUUUUACAUUACAAUUAAGAUUGCUAGGAGUCACCAUUAACAUGUAAUUAAGAUUACUAGAAACAGUUUUAUAUGCAAGAUGUGUAAGAAUAGUAAAAUGUGUUUUUUUUUUUUUUUUGGUAAAAGGUUAUAAAGGGUUUUUGCUUAAAAUUUCUGAGUCAUCAUUUUGGCAAAAUAAGUAAUUUAGGGCAAUCUGGAAUUCCAAAAUCAAACUUCAGUUUCAAAAUUGUCUUUUCUAAUGCCUGGCUUUUUGGAUGGAUCAGAUGGCCCCUGAAAACAUCCAGAAAAGAGGUAAAAAAAGCUUUCAAUUGUUUGGAUCUUCUGAGAACAUCAGAAGAUCUUGCCAUCUGCACUACAACAAAACUUUGGGACCUUGAACUUUGGGUACAUAAUCUCACAACUGAGAAAGUUCCCUCCACACUCUUGGAAUUGUACACUCAUUGGAGCCCUUAAGUUAUAAUAGAGUUGGAUGAACAGAAAAGUAUCUAUGCUGCAGCUGGCACUUAUGACCUACGGAAAAAUACAUUAAAUGAAGAUUAUGGAAAUUCAGUGAAGGAGAUGAGACUGCUAAGUUAAAGACCAUCUAGCUUCAGAUGAUCAUGCAACAAAGGCUCCAGCCAAUUCCAGGUAAAGACACCACCCCUGGCCAUCAAGGAGAUACCCUGCCUCCACUAGAGAGAGCAGAGUGAGAGUUCUGUGAUCCUCAAUAGGUAGAAACUACACCCCAAGCCAGCAUGAAGCAGCUACAGAAGAAAGACCAGCUGUCCCUCUGCCUCCCAUAAAGAUUUAUGAAGAUCACAUCUCUCAGUGGGGAAAUGAGUCAAGAAAAUAAUGUCUGGAGGCAGGGAACAUAAGGCCAAUUAACACUUCAGCUAUGACAGGAAAUAUCCUUUCCAUAGGGUGUACACUAAGUGACUUCGUAACCUUACUUUGUCCUCUUCAUUUACAUAGGGCAUACAGCAAGUAACCAAUGGAAACUGCUAGAGUGUAUUUAAACUCCCACAAAUUCUGUAAUGGGGCCCUAUGCUCAUGCCCAUUACCACACUGUGAAGUGUACUUUCAUUUCGAAUAAAUAUCUCCUUUUGCUACUUUAUUCUUUCCUUGCAUUUUUUUCUGCAUUUUGUCCAAUUCUUUGUUCAAGAAGCCAAGAACCUGGACACCCUCUUUCGGUAACACAAUCAACUCCUAAGUACCAACCUCCUAAUAUCAUCAUCUUGGAGGUUAAAAUGUGGUAUAUACAUUUUGUGAGAAUGUAAAGAUUUCUUUAUCCAGUCUGGUGUUGACAGGCAUUUAAUUUGAUUCCAUGACUAUGCUAUUGUGAACAGUGUUACAAUGAACAUAUGCAUGCACGUGUCUUUAUGAUAGAAUGAUUUAUAUUCUUUGA
rnacentral:lncRNA from 1 species